AAAAAAAAAAGAGAAAAAAAAAAAAAAAAUGGACUUGAGGGAAGAUGCUUCGCCGCAACGCUUUCAAAUUCUAUGUGAACUUGCAUCUUAAUAAUUCUCGUCAUUGGGCAUUCUUUUUAUCUUGAUAUUUAUAUCUAUAUCUAUUUAUU
rnacentral:ribozyme from 1 species